GACGAACGCUGGCGGCGUGCCUAAUACAUGCAAGUUGAGCGAUGAAGAUUGGUGCUUGCACCAAUUUGAAGAGCAGCGAACGGGUGAGUAACGCGUGGGGAAUCUGCCUUUGAGCGGGGGACAACAUUUGGAAACGAAUGCUAAUACCGCAUAACAACUUUAAACAUAAGUUUUAAGUUUGAAAGAUGCAAUUGCAUCACUCAAAGAUGAUCCCGCGUUGUAUUAGCUAGUUGGUGAGGUAAAGGCUCACCAAGGCGAUGAUACAUAGCCGACCUGAGAGGGUGAUCGGCCACAAUGGGACUGAGACCCGGCCCAAACUCCUACGGGAGGCAGCAGUAGGGAAUCUUCGGCAAUGGACGAAAGUCUGACCGAGCAACGCCGCGUGAGUGAAGAAGGUUUUCGGAUCGUAAAACUCUGUUGGUAGAGAAGAACGUUGGUGAGAGUGGAAAGCUCAUCAAGUGACGGUAAUUACCCAGAAAGGGACGGCUAACUACGUG
rnacentral:rRNA from 1 species